CCUACGGGAGGCAGCAGUGAGGAAUAUUGGUCAAUGCACGGAAGUCUGAACCAGCCAUGCCGCGUGCAGGAAGACGGCUCUAUGAGUUGUAAACUGCUUUUGUACAAGGGUAAACCUGAAUACGUGUAUUCAGCUGAAAGUACUGUACGAAUAAGGAUCGGCUAACUCCGUGCCAGCAGCCGCGGUAAUACGGAGGAUCCAAGCGUUAUCCGGAUUUAUUGGGUUUAAAGGGUGCGUAGGCGGAUUGAUAAGUUAGAGGUGAAAUGUCCGAGCUUAACUCGGGAACUGCCUCUAAUAAUGUUGAUCUAGAGAGUAGAUGCGGUAGGCGGAAUGUAUGGUGUAGCGGGGAAAUGCUUAGAGAUCAUACAGAACACCGAUUGCGAAGGCAGCUUACCAAUCUAUAUCUGACGUUGAGGCACGAAAGCGUGGGGAGCAAACAGGAUUAGAUACCCUUGUAGUC
rnacentral:rRNA from 1 species